rnacentral:rRNA from 1 species
CGGACGGGUGAGUGAUGUCUGGGAAACUGCCCGAUGGAGGGGGAUAACUACUGGAAACGGUAGCUAAUACCGCAUAACGUCGCAAGACCAAGAGGGGGACCUUCGGGCCUCUUGCCAUCGGAUGUGCCCAGAUGGGAUUAGCUAGUAGGUGGGGUAACGGCUCACCUAGGCGACGAUCCCUAGCUGGUCUGAGAGGAUGACCAGCCACACUGGAACUGAGACACGGUCCAG